rnacentral:rRNA from 1 species
CCUACGGGUGGCAGCAGUGAGGAAUAUUGGUCAAUGGACGAGAGUCUGAACCAGCCAAGCAGCGUGAAGGAUGACUGCCCUAUGGGUUGUAAACUUCUUUUAUAUGGGAAUAAAAUGUUCCACGUGUGGGAGUUUGUAUGUACCAUAUGAAUAAGGAUCGGCUAACUCCGUGCCAGCAGCCGCGGUAAUACGGAGGAUCCGAGCGUUAUCCGGAUUUAUUGGGUUUAAAGGGAACGUAGGUGGAUUGUUAAGUCAGUUGUGAAAGUUUGGGGCUCAACCGUAACAUUGCAGUUGAAACUGGCAGUCUUGAGUACAGGAGAGGUGGGCGGAAUGCGUGGUGUAGCGGUGAAAUGCUUAGAUAUCACGAAGAACUCCGAUUGCGAAGGCAGCUCACUGGACUGCAACUGACACUGAGGCUCGAAAGUGUGGGUAUCAAACAGGAUUAGAUACCCGAGUAGUC